rnacentral:SRP_RNA from 1 species
UGGAAUUGAGGGAGAUACGGACCAGGCUUGAAAAACAGCAUGCACACCACCAGCAGUUGAGUGUAAUG